AUCCAAGGUCGUAUGCGUAUGUUGUUUUGUUUUCAAUAUUUCACUCAGUUCAGUGACCGCGAGUCAAAGUGUUGUGUUGCUUCAAAAAUGCAGAAGAUUACUAAUUAUUUUAACCAGCCCAAAAAACUAAAACUAGAUGAACAAUUUCAAAAAUGCUUAACAUCGCCAGUGAUAUUGGACCAAACGCCUUCACUAGAGUCUAGUCCAAAGAAGGUGAUAAACAUUGGCCAGACUGUUGAACUUGUUGAACAAAAGCGCCGACAGAGGAGUGGUUUUACUGUGGAACCUGUAUAUACUGUGGUUAGGCUGUGACGUUUGCAGAAAAGUUGGAUCUCUGGGUGUAGAAAUAAAAAUGGUAUGAAAAUGGUCGAGCAGUGGACUGAAUGUGAUGUUAGUAGUUCUGGAGAGAGUCGAGCUCAGCAACAAACUUUACUAAGAAAAAAGAUAUUUGAUCACAAAGUUAGUGCUGCUCAUGAAGCUGCUGUUAAGAUUUUUGCAGAUUCACAGAAAGGAACGUUAGAAAAGGUUUUUUUAAAAACAGUGUCAAAA
rnacentral:lncRNA from 1 species